rnacentral:sRNA from 1 species
GUGCUGUCCUGGGUUAACCUGAAAGCAAUCUCCGAGGCUCCCCUUUCUGGCUUUCAGGGAGCCAGAGACUGACCGGACACUUGGCUCUGCAGGUGCAGACCUGGGCCAGAGAGAGAGCCAAGGAAGUCCACAGUGGAGAGAGGGCUGUGCUGGGGGUUCCAGGAAGACUUCCUGGAGGAGGGGAUCUUGGAGCUAGGCCUUGAAGACGAGUUUGUCAAAUGAGGAAGGGCAUCCGAAGCCGAGGGAACGGUACAAGGGAACGCUGGGGAGGGGAGAGAAUCUGGAGAGUUCCGGAAAAAGCAAGUAGGACUCUUUCCAGAAGUUCGGGCAAGAUUUUCCCUGGAUCAGGGCGUGGGUUCUCCAGUACUCGUCCCUCCCGGUCACCGAGAUGCUCUGAGUUUCCGGUCUGAACCUGAACUAAAGAGAACAUCCAAUUUGUGCAUCCCCCAGCCGCAGAACACCCCCACCUGGAGCAUCUCGCGAUCAUCGAGCCCUCGGUCUACUUGACACUGAGGCUGAGCCUCCCA